AUGUGGGGCUGGUGAAUAUCUUU
rnacentral:piRNA from 1 species